ensembl:lncRNA
CAGUUCCUGGUGCAGACAGAUUGGCUGAUGUUGAUUGUUGACAGCUUCUCCAGCUUGCUAAUUACAACUGUAAAAUAUUCAGGUGAAUGACAGUAACUUGAAAUGUUAAUUCUGCUUUUUUUUUUUUAAUUUUUUUUUAUUAUUUUGCAGCUGCAACUGUUAGUUGGCUAUUGCUGUAAUUGAUGGACACUGGCAGUUGCUCAGACAGAUGGAAAUUAAUACUCGUGUUACUGUUAGAACUCGCUUUCACAGUCACGUUUUUAUUAGCCUCCCACACUGAAUUAAUGUGUGCACGAUGGUGCGUGUAGAAUCACAGAGUCAUUAAGGUUGGAAAAGACCACUAAGAUCAUCAAGUCCAGACAUCAAGAAGGAGCAGCACAGAUCCUACCUGCAGACCAGCCAAGUGCUUGCUUUGUAUUGGUGGGCCAUGGUAGAAAGAAGUGAGGCUGUAUCAAAUGCGAGGCAUCAACCUGCUCUUCAGGUAAGAAGGCUUGCUCACUGUAAGACUCUGAAAACUGUCAUCUGGAUGGGAGUUUGCAGCUGCAGAUCCUGCCAGGGCUUAGAAGAGAGAAAUGCUUGCAUUCAAGUGGAAUGGAACCAUCCAUCCAGUAGAGAGCUGAUGCCUUAUUUGCUAGCAUAAUAAAUGCAAGAACAGGCCUUGCACUUUUCUUGAACUGGGAAAAAGGUUGGAUGUUCUUUAGAAUUCCCACAAUAAUGUGAGAGUCUUUUAAAACAUACGUCAGAGUUGAUGGAAACUUGUAGCUUAACUUCACCAGAAAUGCAGCUAUUAUCUUACCUGUUGAGUUUUAGUCACGUGAGUUGAAAGCUACUACUAUGAUGGUUGAAAGGAAAAUGCCGAGGCAGUGUAAGUGAUUAAUAAUGUGAAUCAUAGAACCAUAGAACUAUUUGAGUUGGAGGGGACUUUUAAACGUCAUCUAGUCCAACUCCCCUGCAAUGAACAUGGACAUUUAGAUCAGAGUGCUGAGAGCCUGGUCCAGCCUAACCUCAAAUCUGAAGGUAGCAUUGAAGUGAGGUUUUCGUAAAUCGUAGCAAUAUAGGUACCAGAAACUAUUUGAGACAUGACUUGUUUGACUUGAAAGCAGGCUUUCUCUUUGAGACUGUGGGACAAGGAAGCUGGAUCAGGAAAAAUACUGGUUUGCCUCAAUAAGAAUUUGCUUCAGCUUCCCAGGGUUUGGUCGCUGAGGAAGUGACCACACAGGACUUUGCAUCUUGGAAAGAGCUAAAGCAAGUUAGUGUACGCAAAGAGCUCCUCUGAGGCAGAGCUGCUAACAGUGUUGGCUAAACAAGUCAAAGUGUUCAAUACUUUCUGAGUAGCAAAGUCAGUUCUUGAAUUCUGCUUUGUUUUAAGUUUCCAGAACAUUGUACUUCAAGUUGAUGAGGAAAGCCCUUAUUUCCUUCGUGUUCAGAGAUUGUGACCAAGUAGAAAUCUCUUCUCAGGAGGUGUUUGUGAGCCGUGUGUAGAGGUAGGCUGACAAAAUGGAUAGCAGCUCAGCCUUAGGUGUGAAUGCAUCUUCUGGCUGUUUUGUUGCUUCUGUGGAGGAAGGCCAUGCACACAAGGUCCUCUCUCCCAUUCUGUCCUACACCUAAGCCUCUUGCUAACAACUCACCAGGUGUGACUGAGUGGCGGUUCUGACCUCAGAGCUGCAGUGUCAGCAGUUGCUAAGGAUCUCUCCACUAGCCUGCUCAGCAAAGCUUUGCUGUCAAUAUAGUUUUGCUCUUGCAUGCAGUGCAGGAGAUGUUCAUGUGCUAAAGGUAGGAUUGUGUUGCCCACUGCUAUGCCAAUUACUGGAUAUUAAUGGCAGGAUAGCAUGCAUAUGCCUAAACUGGGAAGCAGAAGGUUAAUAGACGAACAGCACCAGAAGAUCCCAUUUAUCAGUUUCUAUUUAUCUCUCCUUGGGAGGUGGCAGGUUUACAGUAAAUACCUUCUGUCCUCCUAAUUUCCUAAUGAUGGGGAUAAUGAUGGAGAAUGGUGAAGUCAUUAACUGGGACAGCCUCUGUGCAUCACUCUGUCAACCACAUCUCUCCAAGACCUGCAAUGAAAAGUGAUGGGCCCCAGCUGUUCACCAGAUUCUCCUCCCCUCCCCCUCUCCCCAUUCCCAACCCCAGUUGCAGGCGUAGCAGUUGGAAAAGGAAAAAAAUAAAAAAAAAAAAAACCACAAACCAAAAGACAAAGGGAUGGUUCCUCUCUUCUGCACUGGAAUGAUCCUGCUAUAGAGCUCAGUGCAGUGCUGUCCUUGGACAGAGCGGUGUUAUUUCAGUAGGGACCACAGCACUGCAGAACAGUGGUUUUAUUAAAAAGAACAGAAUGCAAAAGCAGGUUGCACUGUUUGGAGUGAGACACUGGAUUUCUAUUGUGCUGCCUUCUGCUGAAGGACCUGUUCAAUAUUUGUAAAAAUUCUUAGCACUUUUCUGAGUGAGAAGCAUUUUGCCGGAAUACUGAUGUGUUGCAGUGGCUACAAAAAUGGAUGGGCAAAUAGCUCUUAAAGUUAUAGGUAUAUUGGGAAUAGAACUAAAGAGAGAAUAUAGUACCCAGACUUUCUAGAUCACAAGAGUGCAAUAGGAAGUGGUGAAGUUACCAUCCCUGGAGGUGUUAAAGAAACGCAGAGAUGUGGCACUGAGGGACAUGGCCAGUGGGCAUGGUGUUGGAUGGGUUGGGGUUGGACUUGGUGAUCUUAGAGGUCUUUUCCAACCUUUAUGAUUCUGUGUGGCUACAGUCACUUGUUGUGGCCUUGAGUGUCCUAUGACAGAACUCUGCAAGUACUUAACUGCCGUUUCCUCUGCAGAGGCUGAGGAUCCAACCUUCUGCCUUGAAAUCUUUUUUAAAGAGAGGCCUGUCUGCAGUGAGGUUUUCCUAUUGCAUCUGCCAUUUGUCAGGCUCAUAAAAGAACUCUUGAGCUGUGGGAGCUUUGUAUUAGAAGGGUUCAUUAACUUUCAAAUGUUUCAAUUGAGAAAUUUCAGAGCUCUCAGCAAUCGACCAAGGUGGCUGGCUCAGCCAAGAGUGUCCCUUGACAGUCAGGUACAGAUGUGAUUGCUAGUCAGAGAGCUGUAAGAAACAUAAUAGUGUCCCAGAAAGUGUCAUACUUGAGCUGGAGAGGCUUAAACCAAAUAGCCCAGAGAGGCCGUAAAUAAUUUUUGUUAUUCUUUAAGGGACAGGAAGACAGAGGAGCCCUUAGCCGGUAGUAUGCCAGGAAUUCAGUCUAUGAGGUUGUAGUGCAGUUGGGUCCCAUUCUGGUGUGACUUAUCAUGUUCAUAAGCUGCCCUAGAAAACAUGACAGGGGAAAUGAAAACAUGGUUGUAGUGAGAGAAGGGACUCCACUGGCUAAUCCUAAGCAGAUGACAAACUGUUCCUAAGUGCCUGGUGCCAGCAAAGGUUGAGAUGGUACAGACAGGCUUUUUGUCUGAGUUAGGUCUCUGUUCCAGUGGUAUCUGAGCAGAGGUAUAGACUGAAAAUGAAGGGCAGUGAAACAGUUCUUUUGUCUGGGAGAUGUGAUGUUAUCCAGUUAAUGCAUUAGAAAAUGUCUGAGUAAACUUCACCUAAAUAUUUUUUUCUGUUUUAUCUUCACGUGCUAGAUGCUACUCUAGGUAAUUUUCAUACAAAUGAGAUGAAGCUUCGGAUUUCAGUCCUGCCGUGUUACCUUGGUUCCCAUAAGAUCUCCUGAAGCCCUUAGCUGAAAAUGCAGUUGUUAAUGCCUUAGCUUCAUGUGGUCUGACUGUUCAGUGUCCAGCAAUGUAAGUGCAGCAGUCCUGGGCAAGGUUCAGCAGCAUCAGCUGUUUCUGUGGCCAGCCUCUCAGCUUUGACACCUCAAGCAUGACAUAAAUCAGGCUAAACAGAACAUGCAAUAUUAAACAUCUGUUGACUUCUAAAUAAGGAAAAUCAUAUUAGUCACUCUGUAAGCAAUCUGCAUGAUAAUUUCAGGAAAGCAUGAGGUGACUGCUCUCUCAGAGGAAGAAAUAGCUGAUAGAUCUUUUCUAUAUAUGUGAACUAGCUGUAAGAAAGACUGAAGAUCUGACCAGAAGUCUUCCUUCUGUGAGGUGCCUUUGUUGGAGAAAAAAAAAGACGAGUCAAAUUGUCUGCCACUGUGGAAAUUCAUUUCAGAUGUGUACAGGGCAGUAUCUACAGCACCAAGUCUUGGACAGAAUGGAAUCUGUUGCAGAUAUUGCUUGUCAACUGAAAGGAAUCUCACUGGAGCAUUGUAAUCUCUCCAAAAUAAUUUUUUCAAUUAUGUUUAACAUACAGGAGUAGAUGACUUAAAAAACCAUCCUAGCUGACAGCCCAAAGGCAACCAAAUGUUACAGUCAAGUCCAUUUUAAAGGUGCAGAGUGUCCAUAUUAACCCUUCAUCUAUAGAUGGUUGAAAGAAAACAAAAUACACAAAUCGUGCACCUUUUAGAGAUCUCAGCACUUAAACCUGGAGAUGUGGCUGCAGUGUAGAAACGAAGAAACAUGCAGUGUCAAGAUGAGGAAAAUAAAGGUUUGGACCAAGUUUAUGUAGAGACACAAUCAUUCAAAUGUGUGUCCAAGUUCAGUUCUAACAGCAUUUUUACCUUCCAGAACAACACUGAUGCUUUAGCAGCAGCCUCUUGACAAUCCACUUCUGUCAACUGAAGAACAGCGUUUGGAGUAGGAUGACUACAGAUGCUUUACCUCAGAAAAGCACUUUUGUGAUUUCUUCUAAUGCAAAAAUACCAGCUUGCCUGCUGAUCUUGGAAAACUCACAGUAUGAGCUCUUCUCCCACUGCCCUUUAUACUAGCUCCAAAAUACCCUUAACGUUAGUUAUAUGGUAAUGUGGUAAUGAUUUCAGCAUUCACCAAGCAUUUUGUUUGGUCUUUCUACAAUCACAGUGAUAUUUUCAUUACUCUCAGUUUAUCCUUUCUCUUUUUUUCCUUGCUCCCACUUGCACUGGAAACCUAUGUGGUUCUAUCCUGUUAACAUUUUCUUCCCCUUCCCCUUUCCCUUUUCCUUUCUUUUUCUCAGAUAAACCACUUUGAAGCCAUGAGUUGUGGCCACAGCCCUCCGUAGACUCUACAUAGAGUUUUCCAGGGGUCAAGUGCUGUAAAAAGUCAUCAACACCAUGAUGCAGAGUUAUGACUGCCUAUUCGGGGUUUCCUCUUAUUCCCAUAAUGGAACGCAUCUCCACAUAUUCAAUCAGCCACGGUUAUUCUGCCUGGCUACACAGACUGAAGCUAAGAUGCACACUGAACAUUUCUGUCACUUUUGCUGUUCUGGCCACUAUGCUUAUUCAAAGAGCUGGAAGGAAAACUCUCAUUAGAGAAAAAUUCAUUUAGCCUUAUGAAAGCCUGCACUGGGCUAAUAGAAGCUUUAGAAAGCUCUCCCUUCUGGUUAGGAUUGUCCUGAUCAAGGCCUGAGGCAGAAUGAAGAGACAGCUUCAUUGUCUGAGUAAACAUUAGGGCUAUAGAUGAACAGGAUUUUGUUCAUAAGGCUAUUGCUCAGAAACUGGAGAAUAAGCCAGUGAGCUGCUGGUAGCAUAGACUGCAGCCCAAGAGAUUGUUGCAAACUUCAAGGUGAAAAUAAGAAUCUGUUUGUGGUUACUGCUCAAGCAAAGGAGACAUCCUCAUGUUGAGGAUCCAGGUGAUGGUAGGUUUCUAUUACAUAGGCUAGGAAAAAAAAAACAAUGCAAAAUGUGGGUAAGAUAAGCUAACUUUGGUGGUGGUGGUGGUGGCUGUGUGUAGAUAGGGGUGAGUUGUGCAUGCUUCUGGGCAGCGUAAGUGUGUAAAGGAGAUGAACUGAGGGCACUGUGUGCAUUUGGGUAGUUCCAGUGCAUGUUGCUAUGCUGGGCUGAAAGAGUAUGGCAGUAGACAUCUACUGGGAGUUGAAAAGCAUCAUUCAUGGUGCACAGAUGCUGAGGGUUGCUGCAAGUGGAGUGGUGUCCAAAAGUGGGAGCAGCAUCUUUGUGGUCAUGUGUCAGGAUCCUUCUUUUCCUGGACGGAAGAAUGCCAGCUGUAAAGCGCCUAGAACUUAAGAAGUUUCCAGGAGAAAGGAUGCAAUGAAUGUAGACCUCUAGGUGAGUAAAGUGAAAAUGGAAUCCAGGUCCAAACUGAGAUGGAGUGAAUGAAACACGGAGAAUCACUGAAAUGUACUUCAAAUUCCUUCCAAAUUACCCUGUAGCACUUCUGGUUGACAAGGCUUUGUCAGGCCUGUCUCGGUAGGUCUGUCCGGUCAGGAAUCAGGGCAGAGAUGAAGGGACAGAUGGAGGAAAGGAGACAGAGUAUAUGAUCUUGCUCAAGGGACACGUUAAAUUUAAGUUGGUUUUUUUUUUUUUUUUUUUUUUUUUUUUUGUUAAUAGCUUCACGGUGUAGUAGUGUCUGACCUUGCAGAAAGGAUUUUUAAGUACCUUUCCAUUCUCCCUUUGCUUUGCUUUCUGCUUUUUAUCUUCUUAGAGUAAUAAAGAUGCUCAAGUCCAGAGAGUUCCUAUAGGAAUUGAAUGCUUAAACACACAGCCUUGCUCUGGAAGGGGAGAUGGAGGAAGGAGUGUGAAUAGGAAGGGGGAGGAGAUCUGUCAAAAACAGUUUUAGGACUGAUCAAAGCAGGAAGGAAGGAGAGGAUAAUCUCCUCCUGAAUAUGAUCAUGUCAUUUCAGAAGACUCUUUUCUGCAACGGAGCUAUGCAUCAGUGCUGGGAGUAGUGUACAUUAAGAAUUAGCAUUUGCUUGGAGCUUCUAAUGUGCUGCAGAAAAUAGAAUUGAUCUCCACUCCAGCUACAAGCCUAAGAAGAACUAAGAUACCCUCUGGUUAGGAGAGGGUGCUUACCCUGCUUGGUAGCACAAGGCUGAGAGCAGGAAUAACACUGAAGCUCAGGUGGCUGAGUGUAUGCUUUGUAUACAGCUACAAAUGCAGAAGUAAAAGGAAUAGCUCACUUCUGUUUAUUGUGUUGCUUCUGCUUUGGCUUACAUUUGUGUCUACUACCAGUGGUAGUUCAGUGUUCUCUGGGAGCACACAAUGGUGGGAAUGAUGCAGAACAAAUGAUUGCCUUACUAAAAUUUUGUCAUAAUCUUUACUUGCUGCGAUGGAUCUCAUCACUGCCUAAAAAUUGGGGCUUUUCUGCCAUAUAUCUAUUUCAGUUCUUUUUAUAUAUCAAAAGGACAGAUGUUUUGAUGGCAGAGGGUCCUUAUACAAGCUGUCUGUAUUGAUAUAUACAGAUGACUUUGUACUGGAGAAGGAAGGUGUGACUGAGCAGUGAGCAGCAGCCACUGAGAUCUUCUGGGAGCACAUCUCAAGUUUGUGCACAGGCCUGACUGAGUGAGUGAUGGCUUGUCAGACACCGGGGGAGUUUGGACAAGUGCCUAGAAUGGAAAUCCAUUGGGAGUUGUUAAACUUAGAAAAGCCUUCUUGAGCUCACAAAAUCUGAAGGCUGCAAAUCGUUAGGGGCUGGAGACUUGACUGUGUGUCCCUGUGUGCCUGCUGUAUUGUCCCCUUCCCAAGGUGUCACAGUGUGCUGGAUUAGGUGGCUCCUUGGUGUGAGCUGCCACGGUUAUUAGAAAACAGCCACUGCAGAACUAAUGCAUGUCCAAGAUAGCUCUGAGUUCUUACAUCAAUAUGGUUGUGUCUACUUACUGAUUUACUCUUUUCUGAAAGCUCUGGCUUGUUGGAGUUGUAGACAACGGGGCAGGUGAGUUAAUUCCCCUGAAGCUAAGCUUCCUUGGCCAGGGGCAGUGAUAAAUUUGGGUAACCUCUGCCAGACAGAGUGGAAAAUCUUGUGCUAGUGGAUGACUCCUUGAGUAUGCGGAAGUUUGUUAAGAUAUCAGAGGUAAAGUUGAACGUAAAGUGUCAUGUUCCCAUUACCUAAAUGACUCGGGUAGACAAUUCUUGAACUUACUGAAGAGAUUCUCGUACCUGCUGAAGAGACAUUUGUGACAUUUGUGCAUAAGCUACCACAAUUUAUGUACAAUCUUGAAUCAAAGUAAGCUUGAAUUAACAGACACGAGUAUACCCUCAAAAACAUACAGCAUGAGCAUGCUGUUGUGCCCUAGUAAAGCAUUCCAAUGGCAACAGCAGGGGCAGCAAGGAAAAAUUCUGGAGGCUUUGAUUCACAUACUGCAUCUACUGGAAGACUGCUUCUGAAGUGGUGGAAUCCGAGCGCACAGUUGGUAACAGCCCAUGGCUUUAUGGCACUAGCUGCAAAGUGCUAAGAUCAGGAUGAUAGGUGGCAAAAGGAUUUUCUUGUGUCCAGCAGAAAAAGUAGAUUUGAGUCACAGUCAAGAGUCAAGGAGCCACGUUCUUUCUUUUUGCUACAGUGGCCUUUGCUGUACAGCCUUUGCGAAACAGCGUCCCCCACCCCCAUGGUGCUGUCAAAGCAGUAACAUAGCAUUGAGGUGAUUUUGUAUCGCACAGCCAAAAGAAAGGAAAAUAGUAUCUUAAGUGACAGGCUCUAAAUACAGUGAAAAGAAAACAUUGAUCAUGCGUGUGCGGUCAUAUUUUUGUCAUCUCCUUAGACUGCGAAAAGGCGGUCACAGUAAAGCUUACUUAAAAUACGUUCAGUCUUUUCCCGUUGACAUUAGGUAUUUUUUUUUUUUUUCAGCCAAAGAUCUCUAAGUUGCGAAGAUACACAGGGCUUGAUGACAUUAGUAGGAGCCAUUGGAUAAUGCCA